GUUUUCAUAAGAUAGGGCUGCUCACUCAGUGGCCCGCCCACGUGAAGAUACAGAGGUUGUAAACUAUGAAACACACCCCCUUUCUCCCUUCCUAUAUAAAGCCUUGACGACAAUAGAACUUCCUGUUCCGGGGAUGUAGGACGACGGUCCUAUGUCAAAAUGGUUCAGAUAAUAACUACAGAACGAGGCCAACAUCAGCGUGAGCCUUGGUUGCGAAUGGUAUGAACUUUGAACUCUUAUUCACUACAGAAGUGAUACCUCCUAGCCGUUGAGUUAGCAACCGCAGCUGCAAACGCAGGUUAGGAAGGAACAGACAGAGUUUCCCGUUUUGACCACCAGAGACAUUCUUCAAAGGACUCGAUUGGGCAACACGGCCUUCCAUCUACCACCAACCUACCGAAGCGCAGCUCAGAAGUGUUCCAGGAGCUUUAGGACGACAUGGUCCUCAGGGGCCACCAGGGUUCCCGGACCCCCUCUUGGAGAGAAGGGACAACGAGGAGACGAGGGCUUCCCUGCUGUAUCUGGACCGAAAGGGGACGGGGGUAUCGCUGGCGUACCGGGAUAUCCUGGACUAGAUGGUGUCCCGAGAGGUGCUGGGGGCUGCCUUAAUCGGCAUCCACUUCGGCACCCUGCACCCGGCGAAAGUUGUUGUGUUGGCG
ensembl:lncRNA